CACGCGGAGACAGGGGAGCGAGGACUGUGAGGUGGUCUGGAGUUUUACACCAGUUAAAAGUUACACAAUACAUGUAGUGGUUUUGAAAUGAUGACAUAUUCAACAUCCAUCGUCCAGAACCAAAGCAGGAGUCUUCAGCCGGAAUAUCAAAGCAGUAAGGAAGGGAGCUAAUAUCCUCAGAAGAGUGAGAUGCCUGUCUAAUCUAUAAGUUUUAAGUGAAAAAUGUACCAGGUCAUAUAGACCCAACAAGUGAAUGACAAAGGUACAAUUAUUUUAGAUGAAGUCUUCACCACGGUGACUAUGAUUAUUUGUGAAUGAACUUAGCUUCUAUUAUAUAUCGGCACCUUUUUUUGUUUUUGCCAAAAGUGAGUUUUGUAAAAAAAAAAAACAACAACAACAAAAACCCACCUCUUUUUGGCCAAAAUAUGAGUCAGGCAAAAAACAGAAAGAAAAAGAAAAUCACUUUUGGCAAAAAAAAAUGACAUAUGCCAUUAUUUUAGGAAAGUUGUGAUAUGAAACUUGUUACUACAGAUAUCCUAAUAAUGAAAUAGUACAUUUUUAAGAACGCCGGUUUAUCAGCACCCAUUGCUCCCUUAGACAACCGUUUUUUUUAAUAAAUGCCUCUGAAGGGCUAAAAAUGUUUCUGGUUGCCGUGUCCUCCCUAGUUUUGUUGCAGCCAUCUGAGCCGGGCCGUAACA